GAUGAACGCUGGCGGCGUGCCUAACACAUGCAAGUCGAACGGAAAGGCCCUGCUUUUGUGGGGUGCUCGAGUGGCGAACGGGUGUGUAACACGUGAGUAACCUGCCCCUGACUUUGGGAUAACUUCAGGAAACUGGGGCUAAUACCGGAUAGGAGCUCCUGCUGCAUGGUGGGGGUUGGAAAGUUUCGGCGGUUGUGGAUGGACUCGCGGCUUAUCAGCUUGUUGGUGGGGUAGUGGCUUACCAAGGCUUUGACGGGUAGCCGGCCUGAGAGGGUGACCGGCCACAUUGGGACUGAGAUACGGAGCAGACGCCUACGGGAGGCAGCAGGGGAGAGCCUGGCGCAGUGGGCGGGAGCCUGAUGCAGAGACGCCGGGUGCGGGAUGCCGGGCUUCGAGUGAUGAACCGCUUUCGCAUGUGACGAGGCGUGAGUGACGGUAAUGAGUAAAGAAGCACCGGCUAACUACGUG
rnacentral:rRNA from 1 species